UUAGAACAUCCCUCCAGAGUACGUUGUUAUAUUGACAACAUGACUAAGUAAUCUGACUGUCUUAACCCAACACAAUGAUACAAGGGCUUGUCAUUCUGAUGGCACAUGUUCAUUGACACAGAACUAACAGAUGAACUCAGGAUUUUGAGCAAGAGACUGGCUUCUGCAGGUGAGCUGGAGUCUAUCCCAGCUGACUUUGGGUGCGACGUGGACCCUUCCUGGUCGCCAAGAAAAACUUAGACAAAGAAAUGUCUCAUAUGAUAUACUGUAUCAACUUUAAACUUCACCCACCCUCUUUGGUUGUUUUGUUAUGCAAGAGGAAUAUUUGCUAAAUACAGUAAAACAUUGGAAGUUUGUAAACAUACAGUAACAGACAAGGGCAAAAUGACAACAUAUCAAAGCACCAAAUUAAAAUGGAACUAAAGUCUAGAAGUUUGGGGUUGUACAAUUCGCAAUUUGAACAAAAUUGUUGGGGAAAAUACACCUCUAAAUUGCACUAGGCGUAAUGUUAAUUAAGCCAUCCCAUCGUGCCAGACCUCAGUUCACUGAGCAUCAAAACAUUAACGCUGGGUUGUUGUUGUUUUGCGACAUUGCAAUAGAAUGACUCAACUGGGCUGUUAUGAACAUUAGCAGAAAAGAAAACUGUCCAGGAAGUUAUGUAAUUUACUGUAAGGGAAGACUCCAACACCAUCACUUGUUCUAGGUAAGGUAGUUUUUUUUUUGUUUUUUGUAUGACACCAAAAAUGUCACUUAAAACAUUGCCUGAACAGUUAAUAAACAUUUUAUGAUGAUGAAAGUUUGACCUGGGAACAGAAUUCUAUUUGCAUUAUUUUGUUUUGUCAAAAAAUCCCAAAAUAUUUGUCAACCAAUGUUCUGUGUGAUUACUUCCAGGGUAAUAUUGUUCCAAAUAAGAAAAUAACAUUUUGUAAUGUUUUAUGUACAUUUAGGUCUUUGCAUUAUAUUUUUCAAUUUAACAUGCACUGCAUAAAGCUUUGGUCUUCCCAGGGAAAUUAUGAUUGACAUUAUUUUGCUGGUUGUGUCUUUCUUUCCUGACUGCUACUGAUAAUAAAUUCCACACAAUUAUUAUUUGAGACGAGGUCAGCAUGUUAUAGGCCAAUGAC